rnacentral:rRNA from 1 species
AUGGCAACCACCAGCGGCGCCUGCCUGCCUCUCCUGCUGCUCCUCCUGUCGCCGCUGAUCAUCUCCUCGUAUUCAGCGGCAGCGGCGGCGGCGGAAGCAGAAGCAGAGCAGCCGGUACAGGUACACGGCCUCCUGCUCAGCUUCAAGGACUCCCUGCACGACCCCGCCGGCGCCCUCGCCACCUGGUCCAGCUCCACGCCCUACUGCAACUGGUCGCACGUCACCUGCACGGACUCCUCCUCCGCUUCUUCCCCCGUCGCCGUCUCGCUCCAGCUCCAGGGUCUCGGCCUCUCCGGCGACAUCAACGCCACCGCGCUCUGCCGCGUCCCGGGCCUCGCCGGCCUCCGCCUCGCGUCCAACGCCUUCAACCAGACCGUCCCGCUGCAGCUCUCGCGCUGCGCCUCGCUCGCCUCCCUCAACCUCAGCUCCGGCGCCUUCUGGGGCCCGCUGCCGGAGCAGCUCGCCGCGCUCGCCUCGCUCACGUCGCUCGACCUCAGCGGCAACGACAUCGAGGGGACCGUGCCGCCGGGCCUCGCGGCGCUGCGGGGGCUCCAGGUGCUCAACCUGCGCGGCAACCGCCUCUCCGGCGUGCUCCACCCGGCGCUCUUCCGCAACCUCACCAGCCUCCACUACCUGGACCUGUCCGGUAACCAGUUCUUGGAGUCCCAGCUGCCGCCGGAGCUCGGCGGGAUGGCCAGCCUCAGGUGGCUCUUCCUGCAGGGGUCAGGGUUUAGCGGCGAGAUACCCGAGACCUUCCUUGGGCUGGAGCAGCUGGAGGCUCUCGAUCUGUCCAUGAACAGCUUGACCGGAGCCGUUCCUCCGGGGUUCGGCCUCAAGUUUCAGAAGCUGCUGUCUCUGGAUUUGUCGCGCAAUGGCUUCUCCGGGCCGUUCCCCAACGGCGUCGACAAGUGCCUCAUGCUGCAGAGGUUCGAGGUGCAGGGCAACGCCUUCACCGGGGAGCUCCCCGCCGGCCUCUGGUCGCUGCCGGACUUGCAGGUCAUCCGCGCCGAGAACAACCGUUUCUCCGGCCGGCUGCCCGAGUUCCCCGGCGGCGUGUCUCGGCUGGAGCAGGUUCAGGUUGACAACAACAGCUUCUCCGGCGCGAUACCUCAGAGCAUCGGCCUGAUCCGCACCAUGUACCGCUUCUCCGCCUCGCUGAACGAGCUCAACGGCAGCUUGCCGGACAACCUGUGCGACUCCCCGGCGAUGAGCAUCAUCAACAUCUCCCACAAUGCCAUCUCUGGCUCCAUCCCUGACUUCAACAACUGCAAGAGGCUGGUAUCCUUGUCUCUGUCCGGCAACGGUCUCACCGGGACGAUACCAGCCUCCCUCGGGGACUUGCCGGUGCUGACCUACAUCGACCUGUCCAGUAAUGGCCUCACCGGCGCCAUUCCGGCGGAGCUCCAGAACCUGAAGCUUGCGUUGCUCAACGUCUCGUACAACCGGCUCUCCGGCCGAGUGCCACCGGAGCUGGUCUCCGGCCUUCCCGCCGUGUUUCUUGAAGGGAACCCAGGCCUGUGCGGUCCCGGGUUGCCGAGCGAUUGUGAUGCGCCAUUGAGAAAGCAUCAGGGGCUAGCACUGGCUGCGACGGUGGCCUCCCUCGUUACAGGAUUGGCGCUGUUGGCAGUAGGGGUAUUUGCAGUUUGCAGAAGGAUACAUGGCAACAGGUCCUCCUCCCCAUGGAAGCUGGUGCUUUUCCACCCAAUCAAGAUCACCGGAGAGGACUUGUUCGCCGCGUUCCAUGACAAGAAUGUGAUCGGAAGAGGAGCAUUUGGAAAGGUCCAUCUGAUUGAGCUACAAGACGGGCAAAAAGUCGCGGUGAAGCGGCUGUUCAGUUCGGGCAAGCUGACAUUCAGAGAAGUGAAGAAUGAGAUGAAAGCGCUGGCGAAAAUCCGGCACAAGAAUGUUGCCAAGAUCGCAGGCUUCUGCUACUCGGAAGGGGAGGUCAGCGUCAUAUAUGAAUACUUUCAGAGAGGAAGCUUACAGGAUAUGAUCUGUGCGCCGAAAUUCGCGGUGGGAUGGAACGACAGGCUGAAGAUUGCACUGGGUGUAGCUCAAGGAUUGGCUUAUCUUCACCAUGACUAUACUCCUCGCAUGUUGCAUCGCGAUCUGAAGUCGAGCAAUGUGCUACUCGCCGAUGAAUUUGAGCCCAGGGUCGCCGGGUUUGGGAUUCAUCGUGUCGUUGGGGAAAAGGCGUACCGAUCUUCCUUGGAUUCGGAUUUGAAUGACAAGUGCUACAUCGCGCCAGAGCAAAACUUCACAAAGAACCCGACGAACCUCAUGGACGUCUACAGCUUUGGGGUCAUUCUCCUGGAGCUGGUCACCGGAAGGCCAGCAGAGCAGCCGGCGUCCAAGGACUGCUCGGACAUUGUUAGCUGGGUGCGGAGGCGGAUCAACCUGAUCGACGGCGCAUCGCAGAUACUCGACCCCAGCAUUCCCCGCACGGAGCAACAGGGCAUGAAGGCUGCCCUGGAGCUCGCGGUGGGCUGCACGUCGGUGAAGCCUGACCAGAGGCCGGACAUGUAUGAAGUUGUGAGGUCGCUCCAGGCGCUGUAG